rnacentral:lncRNA from 1 species
AAAAUCGUACUGAAUCUGCUAGGGAGCUUAAAAAGAUGAUCGCCUUUAAUACCUUGGUUGUUACUGAGCUGGUGGCAGACAUAAAAGGGGAAUCACCUGAUACUGCAUCUGAAGAAGCUGCUAAGGAGGUAGAAAUAGAAAUCGAAGAGGAGUGGGAGUCUCUCCAGACACUUAGAAAGAUAAGACCCAGUAAAGAACUUACAGCCAAGUUAGGAAAGCAAGGCCAAACAGAGAUAAAUUUGAAGGAUGAUCUUCCAGAGAGGGACAGGACCGACCUCUAUAAGACAUAUCUAUUGUUUUGCCUGACUGGAGAAGUAACGAAUAUUCCCUUUGGAGCACAAAUCACAACCAAAAAGGAUGACUCUGAAUUUGUAUUGCUAAACCAGCUUGGCGGUAUCCUUGGCUUGACUCCUAAGGAGAUUGUGGAGGUCCACCGGGGUCUCGCCGAGCAGGCAUUCAGGCAACAAGCAGAGGUGAUAUUAGCUGAUGGUCAGCUGACGAAGGCUAGGAUCGAGCAGCUGAAUGAGGUGCAGAAGCAAGUUGGCUUGCCUCCGGAAUAUGCUCAGAAAGUAAUUAAGAGCAUUACAACUACAAAGAUGGCAGCUGCAAUAGAAACUGCUGUCAGUCAGGGGAGGCUCAAUAUAAAGCAGAUCCGAGAACUGAAGGAAGCGAGCGUGGAUUUAGAUAGCAUGAUAUCCAAGAGCCUGAGAGAGAACCUCUUCAAAAAAACUGUGGAUGAAAUAUUCUGUUCAGGUACCGGUGAAUUUGAUGAGGUGGAAGUUUAUGAGAAAAUACCAGCCGACCUGAAUAUCAAUGCCGACAAAGCUAGGGAGGUGGUUCGCGAGCUGGCUCGAAGUAGAUUGUCAAAUUCGCUCAUUCAAGCCGUGGCCUUGUUGAGGCAAAGGAAUCGACCGGGAGUGGUAUGGACUCAACCGAGUUUGUCGUCCUAUGUUCUUCUACCAGUCGUGAGCUGUAAAUUUUGAGGGUUGAUAUGUUGGCUAGGAUGAUGUGCCUCCUUUUUAAGCCUGUUUCGAUCGUUUUGUGCAGGUUUUGUCUCUCAAUGAUCUGCUGGCAUGUGACAAAGCAGUGCCGGCAGAGCAGCUGUCUUGGGAAGUGCCAGAAGAACUGGCAGACUUGUUUGCUAUAUACAUGAAGAGCGAGCCUGCUCCAGAGAAACUAUCGAGAUUGCAGCAUCUGCUUGGCAUCAGCGAUUCGGCCGCAGCGGCUAUUCGAGAGAUGGGAGACGGAGUAAUUCAAAUUGGUGCAGAGGAGGAAGAGUUUGCUUUCUGAGUAUUUUCUUUUUUCUUUUCUUUUCAUUUCGAUUUUCCUUAUGCAUCGACGGGACUUUCUUUUGGCCCAAUGUGCGGGGGGUCCGUUGCUCAAUUUGCAUCUGCUCUCUCAAUUUGUAUCUCCAUCGUUCGAGGCGUGACGGGGAGCUGUUGAGAUUUUGGUUUAUCUCUAGAUUUAUCGAAAUAACAGAUCGCUCUGAGACUUAUUAUUGAUCCCAACUGUUCCCUGCAUAACUUUGUAUCUACUCAUCGCGCAUCAAUUCCGCAAAUUUACGAUGGGGGCUCGAGCCUAAUCUUAUCGAGAGGAAAAGAAAAGUGGAGGGGCCCUGGGGGCCUCAUAUGCAUAAUUUGGUACUUAAACACACAUCUCGAAGAAUGUUUCAAGCAAUCUAACAAGACGUAGCUUCGACUUGACUCGAGGAAGACGACGAAUAGAGAGAAUAGGGGGGUUGGAUUUCAGUUUUCGAGUGGCUGAGAAUCAAGCUUGAUGAAUAUUGCGGAUGGCAGCGUUGAUGCUCUUGCAAUCAUAAUCCAUUAUCUUCGACCAGUUAUCGAAGUCCCCAAUUUCCUGUGGCGCGAAACAUACGUUAACACGAGUGCGUGGGGGGUGGGGUGGGUUUGUAAAAAAGCAAUCCGAACUUGGCAAGGUGGGGGGGUCCAAAGACAGACCUUGACGGCGGAGUUGAGAGCAUGAGUGGAGGCGAGCCAGUGAUCGGUCUGCUUCGUGAAGCGGGAGACGGUGGCGGCCAAAGCCCGAAUCUCGAGCUCGAUGCGCUUUUGGUUGAGGAAGGCCUCCUGCACCCCUCCGUUCACCGUCUGCACCAGCAGAUCCGACACCGCAGCUGCGCUCCUGAUUGCGUCUUUCUUGGCCUUCUCGGCGCGGUCUCGGAGGAGGACCUUGCUGUGGUGGUGAUCGUGGAUUAGGCCGAGCAGAGAAGCUUCCAAGGCUCCGCCGCCGCCGCCCACGGGAUGGCGAUCUGCCAGGGAUGGCUCCGAUCCAGAUGGAGACAAGACCCGCGUCCGAGCAAGUGGUAGCUGCGGUGAGUACAUUCUCUCUCUCUCUCUCUCUCUCGCUCUAGGGGGGAAGAGGGGGGGCGUCGCACCAUAUCGCUGUCCUGACUUUGAGUUGGGCUGGGGGGGUGGGCAGCGGAGCCCAGUCCACAUCCACCGACGGUGAAGGCCCAAAAACAGAGAAAACGAGUGAUUGAGAAAGACAUGAAUAAUUGGAUGAGCGAUGACGGGGUGCCUGACCUGUCUUGUUUCAUUCGUAAUAGGACUAUUCUCAUGGAAUUUAGAAGUGGGGCCCCCAACCCAUAAGUCUAGUUCUACUCUUUGGCUCCAAAAAUUAAAUGCUUCUUCCCUCACCCCAUCCGUCUUUUUGCCGACGGACUUGCGAGAGAGAGAGAGAGAGAGAGAAUGGUGGUGGGGUACCCCAUCAGCUCCUAUAAUGCCGACUCGUUUUCACGAAAUUUCGAAAGGAGGCUUCUUAUUCCAUGUCGCUUCUGGUUCUAAAUUUAUUAUUAGGUUAGGAAAUAGCUCAACGUCGUGCAUUUUGCGACGUCCCCUCCGCCCUUCCUUCUACGGGCUUCGGCAUUAUUGUCCCUUUGCUCCCGGUCAUGUCCCGUUAACGACGCCCACUGACUUUGAUUAAUGUUUGUUUCCUCAAAAGGAAUAUCCUUUGCCUCUCGUCCCAUGCAAUUCUCGAGAGGGACGCGAAAUGAAGGAGAGGCCACUUCCACCCCUGCCCCCACCUUCUCUAUGCUAAGACAAGAGAAAGAGAUGCGUUGGUCCCCCGGAUUUAAUGACACCCGAUCCUCAUCUUCAUAACCAUCGCUUCACUUUUAACUGGACGGUUCUGCUUUUCCCGAUUCCUGAUCCCCAUCUCGUGCGGCUCCCCUUUCAUCCUUACUUUUCUCAUCCUCCCCAUUUCUCCCUCGUGGGUCGUGGUGGCGACCUUUCCAUUUCUCGUACAUCCAUAUGUACAUUUACUUUUUAGUACAUAUGGAGCAUGACAUGAUUGACCAGGGCAAAUCUUACACGCGCCUACUUAAGUCCUUUCCGUUUCCACCAUUGAAUAAUAACAUGAUUUCCUCCACCAAUGCUUCACGUUUCGAUUGCUGGUGCACUGUGCAAUGUGAGGUAGAAAAGAAAAUACAAGAUAUCGGAUUAAACUAACGGCUUUGGUUUGAUGAUCUGUCUUAUGUGCGGUCAAUUCCUCACGCCCCCAAGGACAAGCAAGUUUGUGUUUUGACUGUCCACUCGGCUUGCAUCUUACUUGGCCCCUGAAUUUAGUGAAUUAUUCUACAACUCAAUUUUAACUACCUAAUUAAGUGACCUUCUUUGUCCCAGAAGAAAGAUAUUGGAUGAGAUUUUGUUUUUCAAAAACAAUCACAAGCACCGCUUUUAAUGAAAAAGCACUGACCAACGGUGGGUAGAUACAAGGAAAAAAAGAACAGCAGUGGUCAACAUCAAUGGUUCUUGGCGGCCAAGACGGGAGUAUAGAAAGGUCAUUAGAUUGGUGAGUCACAAGUUGGAUCACAUAAAGAAGAUAAGCUAUAUAUAUAUGGAUGAUAUUCGAUUAAACAAAAUAUUUGUUGGACGAAGUUUCCUCCGGUCAAGAAUGGAGGAAGACAUCAUUUGAUAAAGAGUAGUCAUGCACCAAUGACAAUGAUGAUGGUCCUGACUCACCCACAAUAAGUAUUAAUUAGUGUCCAAGUUUGGGGAGAUCCAGGCACACAUUAGUUGAUACAAUGAUUUGUGUUUUUCUCCAGAGUAAUGAGAAACAUUAAUGACAAUUUUCCUUGGUAAACCGAUUCUAGCAUAGGAGUAUUUAUGGAUUCCACUUGAAGCUUGUUUUUUAGAUAAUAUGGAAAUUACGUUAACAAAAACGUGCUCAUAGUGAAUUUUUUUUUCAUGGAAUAAGGGUAAUAACACUAAUUGGUUUUAGUAUCAAAUUCUGUAGGAAUUUAUUCAAAAGAGGACAAAAUGUCGAUGUCUUCGCUUAAAUCCGGAGAGGUCGCGACGCUUCUCAACAAGAGAAGUGUAGGUGGUUGCGUAUGGCAGAGAGCAUGGCGGCGAACGGUACAGUGGAAGAAACUGCCCAGGGAAAGGCGUGCCUGCACGCAAUUCGCAAAGGGCUGAUGGACAUGGGAUGGCCCUACACCUUUUUGGCAUUUCGAAUCCCCUGGGCCCCGGGAAUUCGAAAAAUCAACCAUUUCACGUUUCCAUCAUCAGUCAAAUUCAAUCGAAAUCUAGAACCCCCACCUUUUCAUCACAUUAUAUUUUUCUACGACGUGGAAUUUUCAAGCCGUGCAUUGGCUGGUCCGAGAGAUUGGGUGAACCUGCCUCCGACAAAACUUCUUGUUGAUGAGAUGUCUAUAAAACCCGUUCCAUCUCCCAUGCAAAAGUUCACAUUCUUAUCCGUUUGAUCACCCUUGGCUACGAAAAUGGCUAGUCAUCAUCCGAUUUGGAUAACUGUCGUGAUAGUUUUUGUAACCGCACUCGGGUGGGGAAGUGCCUCCGCGCAACUCUCUACAAACUUCUACUCCAAAAGUUGUCCCAAUGGUUUGAGCACGGUGAAAUCUGUUGUCCAGUCCGCGGUGUCGAAGGAGCGCCGCAUGGGUGCAUCUCUCCUUCGCCUCUUCUUUCAUGAUUGCUUCGUCAACGUAAUCUUUCCUUCCUCCCUCCCUCCCUUUUUCCCAAAUUUCUACCUGUUCUCUAUAUAUGCACCCCUGCCUGCCACGACCUUUUUUUACCCUAAAAACCAGAGCCUUAUGUCGUAAACGAUGCGAAACAAUUUGCCUAGACACUGGCUUUCUUUCUUUUUUCUUUUUUUUUGAAUAAAUAGAUAAAUAAAAGUCGGUUUGAAUUUUAAUACUAUCUACCAUCGAAAAAUAACAUGAUAACAUUCAUGCAGACUAAUCUCUGUAUGCAGAAUUUUUUUAAAUUAAUUUGAAAGUUAAUAGGAAAGCAUCAUCGACCCUUCAAUAUUUAAUAUUUGUGAACUUCUCCAAGACGAAUCACUUCCUUUUUAGUGGAUCGUCGAUGAGUCAGUCCUGUUCAAAGACAUGCAUGGCUUGACAUGGUUAGUUUUGCACCGACCGAAAAUAGGGGUGCGAUGGCUCGAUACUCCUGGACGACACAUCCUCGUUCCAAGGGGAGAAGACGGCUCGCCCAAAUAAUAAGUCUUUGAGAGGAUACAACGUCAUCGACCGGAUCAAGUCCAAGGUGGAGUCCGCCUGUCCAGGUGUGGUCUCUUGCGCAGACAUCGUGGCCAUUGCUGCUCGCGACUCGGUUGUCCUAGUAUGUGUUGCAAUCGAUAUAUAGCUAGUUGCGCCUUUAGUCUGAGCUCCUAAUUUACUCUUAUUAUCAAUUGAUGGUGAUGGGAUAUUUGAAGCUGGGCGGGCCAAGUUGGGAAGUGAAACUGGGAAGAAGAGAUGCGAGGACCGCGAGCUUCUCACUCGCCAACAGCGGAGCCCUUCCCCCUCCAACUUCAACGCUCUCCAACCUCAUCUCUCUUUUCCAAGCUCAAGGCCUCUCCACCAGGGACAUGGUUGCCUUGUCUGGUACGUGUUUAAUAUUGCAGUCUCUGGCCUCGCUCCAUUGCUAGGUCGCUCAUGGGUCAUGCAUGGGCGUGCGUUGCAGGGUCUCACACCAUAGGGCAGGCAAGGUGCACAAGCUUCAGACCUCACAUAUACAACGACAGCAACAUCGACAGCGCCUUUCGCAAGACUAGGCAGGGCCAGUGCCCCUUUGGGUCUGGGGACAACAACCCGGCUCCUCUCGACCUCCGAUCGCCCACCGCCUUCGACAACGCCUACUUCAAGAACCUGCUCAGCAACAAGGGCCUUCUUCGCUCGGACCAGGAGCUCUUCAAUGGUGGAUCCACUGACUCUCUCGUCAAGACGUACUCCAACAACCCCAAGACCUUCAACUCUGAUUUUGCUUCCGCCAUGAUCAAGAUGGGUGACAUCAAACCCCUCAAGGGUUCCCAAGGCGAAAUUCGGAAGAUCUGUAGCAAGGUCAAUUAGAGUCUCCACAACUCGUCUCACCACUCGGGGUUGUGGAAAGGAUGAGGUUUAUUUAUUCUCUCUAAUAUUUAGUAAAAAACCAGGAUUGACUAUAUGCAAGGCGAAUGCCCCCGACCAAACAGAUUUGUCUGGGUGGGGGUAGAAGUAUUUUGUCGUCGAACAAGGGUAACUUUGUUUUCUGUAUCUAGUCGUCUGCUUUUGAGAUUUCUCAGGGGAAAUAAAACACUGAACAAUUCAACUUUUGUCCUUAUACACCCGGAGUAAAUGCCAUUUUUCUACGAUUGACCAGUUUGAUUUAUGUAAGCACCAACAAUAAUUCGCCGUACAAAUGCCAGUUUGACUUUAAGGAUUACUUAUCAAUGUUCUAGCCAAAAUUGAAGAAAAGUUAUCUCAAACUUCACAACAAUAAGACAAAAAAACUGCCAAUCAAUUUUAAUGGCCUAAAAUGUCCAUAACAUUUUAAAGAAGUUCGAGAUGUUCAGUAUUAAGUAAAGCCAGACCUCAAAUCGAGUCAUAACAUAUACUCUACGUUACUACUGCGCAUCAUCAGGGAAACUCUUCUUUCAUUGAAGUGGAAAAAACUGAAAAUUCCUCAGUAAGACAACCGGUACAAGCACCAGGCCCGACCCUGCUAAGCCCACAGUCAAGCCCUCCAUUUACACCGAAACCUACAUGACAUUAGUACCUGAACCAAACUUUAAGUUUGGGUAGGCAGGUCUGCUCAUGUUUAGUGUUGGGUAAUCCAACUUUCAUCUGUAAGCCCAACCAUUCUAGCCUUUUAGACAUUUGGGCAGACUCCAAUGGUGGCUGAUGAGCCACCGCGACCAUCACGAAGCUUGAAAGGCCAUCAAGAUAUUUUUCGGGAAACAUAUAAUGAACUUGAUGAUAUACUUUAGUACUCCAUGAUUUGCUUGACUAGAUGAACGGCAUGGUAUUUUGAAAGAAAUCUAGAAUUAAGCCCCAAAAGAACCGAUCUUUACCCGUGUAGCCCCCAUUUUCAAUUUCAGGGAGGCAAGCACAUUCCACACGCAAAAUGAUCAUCGCGCAAUUUCCUAUUGAACGUCAGCAUCUUUAGCUUUUCUCUCUUUUAUUUGACUAUAGAUCCAAAGACUUGCGAUCGAGCUGAGUAGUGAAUCACAGUCAUUGGAUGCUCACUCGAAAGGACAGACUUGAAAUGUGAGCAGUUCCUCUAGUGCCCCUUGAGCUAGCUUAACGAACAACUUGCAGCUCACUUUUCCGAGACCCACGUGAUUUGCAAAGGUCUUGCAACAUACGUGAGAAUAUGUGCAAAUUGUAAUCGGUAUAUACGUCUCAGAACGUCCCUAUUAUGCUCAUGAACUUUACAAUCUGUUAACUUAAUGUGACGUGGGACAAAAGUCAGCAUAAGAAUAUGAUCAUCAUUGCAAGAUCCAUCACGCCGAAAUAAUGCUUGAAAUGAUCAAAUCAUAGAAAAAGAGAGUGAAGUUACUGGGGAAUCUAGAUCAGAUCACAAUACAGGAGCCGCAAAGAAAUAUCUAAGAGGAAGUGGUUCUUCUCAACCUUGUGUCUAAUGAGAACAGGCGCAAGUCAAACAGUCUAGUACAAUAGCUUCUGUGUGGAUACUAAGAGUGAUACGAAAAAGAUUCGAAGAUCAGAUUUGUUCAAGUAAUGAACAUUAUUAUUUUCGCUAGAGAUGGAGCUAUAGGUGGUGGUGCAGGUCGGGGUAGUGAAUAAAGAAGAAGUGGAAGAGGAGGAGGAAGACGAUGAGGGCACGACUAAAGACGGGGGUGGCGGAGGAGGAGGAGAGGGGUCGGGAGGUGCAUUAGUGGAAGAAGAGGAAGAAAGGGUCGGAGGAGAAACAACAGAAACAGCCAAAGGCAGCAGUAGGAUUAAGAGCGGUUCUAGAAUGAAGAACACCAACAUUGGAUUGUAUACGUUAAAAUUAUGUCUCGAGUUUUUUUCGCUGGAAAAGAAGAAAUAUAAAAAUAAGAUAAAAGAAGGGAAACUUUCUUCUUUGCUGCUCCGGAAGCCAAAUUAUUUUAUGGGGUCCAUUGGGCCAAAAUUCAACUUCAUUGCUUGCCUGCAAGAGCCGAAUUCUUCUUGAGCCAUGGUGGGGCCCAAACUUUGGGCACACAAUUUUUCACGCGCGUGGGUUUCGUUUACAUGAUGAAGAAGAGGAAAGAAGCGUCUGUAUGUGGAGAAAAAAAAAAUCUGGUGGGCCCAAGUCAAGAAUUUGACUUUUUGGGGCACAAGUAUAAAACGGAAAAAAAAACCCUACGUACUAGAGCGCCCGUCCGACGAAGAACGAAGCCGCACAAGAGAACCUACGUUCACGUGUACGUCUGCCGAAGAGAACCGCACGUCAAAGUGACGAUUGAGCAGCGUGCGCGUUAUACUUUGAGCCAAGGGACGCACGAUAAUUUUGUGCUGUGAAUUUAUUCUCAAGUGAGUUGUUUAUUUAUAAACACUUUGAGUUUUUGAUUAAAUUUAGGUGUGUGAAACACUUGAGCGUUUGAGCGACUGUAAACUCCGAUACUCCGAUUAUAGUGGAUUAUUUGCUGCUGGCUCUCCCCGUGGACGUAGGUAUCGAUACUCGGAUCGAAUCACGUAAAUUUCCGGUGUCCUUAUUUUUCUCAUUUAUUUCUCUGGUGAUUUCGUGUUGACGUAAAUUCCAAGAUCUUGUCAUUUCCGCGUAUUAUAUCCAAACAAUUGGUAUCAGAGCAUGGGGUUGGAUUUCUUGAUUGUGAUUUGAGGUUUUGCUUGUCUGAUUAUUAUCUGGAAAUUCUGUUAUUGCAAUUAUGUCUAAGAGGAAAUCUAAGAUUGAGAAGUUUGAUGGGAGAAAUAACUUUGUGUUAUGGAGUAUCAAUAUGCGAGCUUUAUUGACAACACAAGGUUUGGUCAAAGCACUAGAUGGUGAAGAUGAGUUGCCGAUUAUAAUGAAAGCUUCAGAGAGGGUAGAGCUGAUGGAAAAAGAAAAAAGUAUAAUCCUAUUAAAUUUGUUAGAUGAGAUCUUACUAGAGGUUAUUGAGGAGAAGGAUGUCGCAGCAUUAUGGGCAAAACUUCAAACACUCUAUGUGAAGAAAUGUUUGAACAAUCGCUUAUACAUGCUGAAGAAGAUGUUUUAAUUUAGAUAUACUGAAGGUAUGUCUAUCAUAACUCAUCUAGAUAAAUUUAAUAAACUAAUGUUGAAUCUGAAGAAUGUCAGUAAGAUAAUUGAUGAUGAAGAACAUAGCAUGAUGUUGUUAGCCUCUUUACUAGAGUCAUGGAAGCACUUUACUGAUUCACUGUUGUAGGGGCGUACUACGAUUACCUCAGAAGAGAUAAAGUCCGCCUUAUUCUCUAAGGAGUGGUAGAGAAAGUUGCGAGAUGACGGUCUAGCGAAAGGAGCAGCGCAAGCACUGACGAUUCGAGGUAGAGAACAACAUCGAGAGCCUAGUAGUAGCAGAGGUAAAAGCAGACUAAAAUCACGUAAUAGAAAGUCUAAGGGACGCAUGAAGUGCUUUGAGUGUCACGAGGAGGGACACAUCAUGAGAGAUUGUCUAAAGCGGAAAAAAUAAAGUUGAUAAGCAAAAUGCCACAAGCAGUGUGACAAACGUUGCUAAGGGGAGCAAUAGGGAUGCAUAAGUUGUUUUGUGCGUGACUGCUACUUCGUCAGGAGACGAAUGGGUGUUAAAUUCGAGGUGUUCUUAUCACAUGACGCCUCAUAAGAACUGGUUUACUACUUACCAAGUUGCAGAUGGUGGUAGGGUUCUUUUGGGGAAUAAUGUAGUAUGUAAGGCUAUGGGGAUAGGGACAAUUUGGAUUCGGAUGCACGAUGGGGUGAUUCGCACAUUGACAGAUGUGAGACAUGCAUUGGAGCUCAAGAAGAACCUUAUUUCUCUAGGGACACUCGAUGACAUCAAGUGUAGGUACAUCGCUGAAGGUGGGGUAAUGAAGAUCUCUCGAGGUGCCAUGACAGUGAUGAAGGAGACGAAAGUGAAUACUCUCUAUCAUCUACUAGGAGAGACCGUGACUAGAACCGCUGCAGUUUUAUCAAGUGAGUCAGACUCUAAUUUGACUCAAUUAUGACAUAUGCGUUUAGGGCACAUGAGUGAGGCAGGUAUGACGAUGCUGAGUGAAAAUGGGGUUGUUGAGUGGUUAGAAAACAGGAAAGCUGAACUUAUGUGAGCACUACAUCUAUGGGAAGCAGCACCGAGUUAAGUUUACUACAACUAUUCAUACGACCAAAUGACCAGUUGAAUAUAUUCAUUCAGACAUCUGGGGCCCGUCUUCGGUUUCUUCCAAAGGAGGUGCCCAAUAUAUGCUGACUUUUAUCGACGAUUAUUCGAGGAAUGUAUGGGUAUAUUUUCUGAAGCACAAAUAUGAUGUGUUUGAUUAGUUCAAAAAAUUUAAGGCAUUAAUUGAGAAAUAGUCAGAUAAACAAAUCAAGCUUGAGAAUUGAAAAUGGUAUGGAGUUAUGUGGUAAAAUUUUUACUGAGUUCUGUGAGAAAGAAUGUAUUGUAAGACAUCGCAUAGUACCUGAGACACCAUAGCAAAAUGGCGUGGUAGAACGGAAGAAUAGAACUUUGCUUGAGCGAGCUCGAUGCAUGCUUUCGCAUGCAGGAUUUGGCAAGGAAUUUUGGGCUGAAGCAGUGAACAUGUUAUGUUACUUGGUUAAUAGAUCUCCGUCAUCUGCUAUUGAGUGAAAGACUCAUGAUGAAGUAUAAUCGAGGAAACUUGUUGAUUAUUCCGGAUUACGAAUAUUCGGAUGUCCUGUGUAUGCUCAUGCGAGUGAUGGUAAGCUUAAGCCGAGGGCGAAAAAAAUGCAUAUUUAUGGGUUAUGUACAUGGAGUGAAAGGCUACCGGCUGUGGUGCACCGAUCCCAGAUCACCCGGUUUUCUAAUCAGUAAAGAUGUGAUCUUCAACAAGACUGCAAUGCUUCAACAGAGGAGUUCUGAGACACAACCAGCAGAGAAGACAGAUCAUGGUGUCAUAAGUGAGGUGGAGCUUUAGGUGGAGACUCCAAAGACCUCGAAGGUAACAAAGGUUGAGACUGUAGAUGAAGCCGCAGUUCUUGAAGUCAGUGAUAGUGAACAAUCAGCAAAGCCGCAGCAGACUAUAGCUGCAAAUAAACAGAGAAGACAAAUUAAACCAUCCAUACGUUAUGGUUAUACAGAUAUUGCUUAUGCGUUGACUGUAGGUGAUGAGGUGGAGACAGAUGAGCUUUCGUCUUACUAUGAAGUGAUGGUUAGUUCGAAGUCGUCGCAGUGGCUAGGGGCUAUGAGUGAAAAGAUGAAAUCACUCCAUCGAAAUCAAACAUGGGAGUUGGUCAAAGUACCUAAGAGUCAAAAGAUUGUCGAAAGUAAAUGGGUCUUUAAACGGAAAGAGGGCAUUCCCAGUGUCGAGGCAACGGGGUAUAAGGCGAGACUUAUGGCGAAGGGAUAUACACAGCGUGAGAGCAUUGACUACAAUGAUGUGUUCUUUCCUGUGGUAAGACAUACUUCUAUUCAUGUUUUACUUGCCUUAAUUGCUUCGCAGGAUCUCGAGUUAGAGUAGCUAGAUGUGAAAACUGCGUUUUUUCACGGUGAGUUGGAGGAGCAGAUUUACAUGAGGCAACUAGAGGGAUUUGCAAUUUCGAGUAAGGAAGAUCAUGUUUGCUUGUUAAAGAAAUCUUUGUAUGGGCUGAAACAAUCUACUAGGCAGUGGUAUAAACGUUUUGAUGCUUUCAUGGCUAGUCAAGACUACUUGAAAAGUCAGAUGGAUAAUUGCGUUUAUUAUAGGAGAUUGAAAAAUAGUUCUUUGAUUUAUCUACUUUUAUAUGUUGAUGAUAUGCUGAUAGCAGUUAAGAAUAUGUUUGAUAUUGAUGUGCUGAAGAGGUAGUUGAAUACUGAAUUUGAGAUGAAAGAUUUAGGUGCAACAAAGAAAAUUUUGGGUAUGGAGAUUUUGUGUGACAGGGCUACAGGAGUUUUACUCUAUCUCAAAAGAAAUAUAUUGAGAAGAUAGUGGCACGUUUUAACAUGCAGUCGGUGAAAUCUGUAAGUACACCUUUAGCGAAAGCACUUUAAACUUUCAGAAAAAUUAUCACCAUAGGCUGAUGAGGAGGAGGAGCAUAUGUCCCGUGUUCUUUAUUCUAGUGCCGUGGGUAGUAUUAUGUAUGCUAUGUUAUGCACUAGGCCUGCUAUUUCACAAGCUGUGAGCGUGAUUAGUCGCUAUAUGAAACGUCUUAGUAAAGCUCAUUGAGAAGCUGUGAAGUGGAUCCUCAAAUAUUUGAAGGGGACAACAAAUGUGGGUAUAAUAUACUGGAGGGACAGCAAUUGCAUUUAGACCACUGGUUUUGUGGAUUCGGAUCAUGUCGAUGACUUGGAUAGUUGCGGGUCUUUAGCAGGGUACGUGUUUACGCUAGCGAGUGGUGCAGUUAGUUGGAAAGCAUCCUUACAAGAUCACAUUGCCUUGUCUUCGACUAAGGCAGAGCAUAUGGCACUAACCUUUGUAGCGAAUGAGGCGAUAUGGUUAAAAAAGUUUGCUCUCGAACUUUGUGUUAGAACAGAAAAGUGUGGAUAUACACUCUGAUAACCAAGGUGCGAUAUAUUUGGCAUAUAAUCUAGUUUAUCACGAGCGAACGAAGCAUAUCAACACCAGGUACCACUUCAUUCGAGAUGUCUUAGCUAAGGUAUUGUUAAUGUUAAAAAAAUUGCUACAGUAGAUAACCCGGCAUACAUGAUGACUAAAUUUGUUCCUUUGGCGAAGCUCAAGCUCUGCUUGAACUCUAUUAGCGUCUAUGGAGAGUGAGCGCCCGUUGGGGCGUUGGGAGAGCAACAUGAAUGAUGAGCACUGUAACUUGGCUUCAAACAUCGAGUCAAUGUGAAGAAUUGUUAAAAUUAUGUCUCGAGUUUUUUCGCUGAAAAAGAAGAAAUAUAAAAAUAAAAUAAAAGAAGGGAAACUUUCUUCUUUGUUGCUGCGAAAGCCGAAUUAUUUUAUGGGGUCCAUUGGGCCAAAAUUCAACUUCAUUGCUUGCCUGCAAGAGCCGAAUUCUUCUUGAGCCAUGGUGGGGCCCAAACCUUGGGCACACAAUUUUUCACGCGCGUGGGUUUCGUUUACACAAUGAAGAAGGGGAAAGAAGCGUUUGUACGUGGAGAAAAAAAAAUUAUUGUUGACUUUUUGGGGCACAAGUAUAAAAGAGAAAAAAAAAAAAAAGCCCUACGUACUAGAGCGCGCGUCCGACGGAGAACGAAGCCGCACAAGAGAACCCACGUUCACGCGUACCUCCGCCGAAGAGAAGCCGUACGUCAAAGUGACGAAUGAGCAGCGCACGUUAUACUUCGAGGCAAGGAUGCACAAUAAUUUUGUGCCAUGAGUUUAUUUUCAAAUGAGUUGUUUAUUUAUAAACACUUUAAAUUUGGAGUUAAAUCUAGGUGUGGGAAACACUUGAGUGUUUGAACGAUUAUACUUCGAUUAUAUUAGAUUAUUUGCUGCUGGCUCUCCCCGUGGACGUAGGUACUGAUACUCGGACCGAACCACGCAAAUUUCUGAUGUCUUUAUUUUUCUCGUUUAUUUCUGAUGGUUUUAAUUGGUGAUGGGCUUAAAGGCCCGUCCGCCCAUGCUGGGCCUAAAAGGCCCGGCCCACGAGAAUAGGGCCCGUGGAUGGGGGAAGGUAUAAAAGGGAGGAGAGAGAGAGAGAAGACACCUCUUGGAAUUAGAACAUACGUACGUUCUCUCCCUCUCUCUCUCUCCAACAAAAGAAAAACAGUAAGAACAAGGCCACUGUUUUCUCUCCUUCAAGGCGUCAUCGGAUCGAACAAGGCCAGUUUCUCUUCCUCUAUCGGCGUCGGUGUCUAAUCAUUGGCUAACAAGGUACGCUCGACUCCGUGGUGUGCUUUACGAUCGGUGAUACGUGUUUUCCCGGGCUUUGUCUUCCGCAUUGAUUUAGGGGUUCGAUUUAGUGUCGAAUCCGGUUUUCGGGGAUCCGUUAUUCCCAACAUUGGUAUCAGAGCCCUAGUUCACGUUUUUCCCGACUUGUUUGACGUUUUUUCAUUGAUUUUUCGCGAAAACCUUCGGCCGUACGGAUCGGGGCGAGAAAUCCCGACACCCGAGCGCUGUUUGGCUAUUUUUCUGAGUUUUCACAAGUCGAAAUCGAAUUCUGAAGGCACUGGGUUAAAGAGAUCGUCGAGGCGAGUCCGGCGACAUGUUGUGCGCCAUCGGACGACGCCGCACGCGCCCACACACGCGGCCAGAAGCCGCUACGCGUGGGCGUCACGCGCCCGAAGCGCUGGCAUCGGCCAGCGCGUGCGCCACACGCGCCGGCGACGAACCGGCACAUGGGCGCCGGCGGCCGGCAAACCGGCACGCGCCGGUCGACGGACCGACGCGUGCUGACGUCAACAUGACGUCAGCAAUGACGCCGGUUGGCCGGGCGAUCACUGGCCGGCGACCCGAUCGACGACCCGACCCGACCCGACCCGCGGAUGCCCGGCAUGUGCUAGCUGACGUCUGCGUGACGUCAGCCCGCGCAUUCACGCGGCACGUGCGGGCGGUUCGCGUGAUCCGGCCCAACCGGCCCAGCGGCUCGACCGGUCCGACGACUUGGCCGUUAACCUGUUGACCGGUCGUUGACCCGUUGACUUGACCGUUGACCAAAAAAAAAAAGGAAUUUAUUUCUUUUUCAAUUAUGUCUGUGUGGGUUAGAGGUAAUCCAUUUUUUAUUCUGCAUUUGUUGCAUGAAUCAUAGAAAAUUAUGUAUUUUCCAUUUUGUUUAUUAUGGAUUAUAGGUGAUCCAUUUUAGUUCUGCAUUUGUUGUAGGAACUAUGAUGCGUUAUGCACGGAUACCUGCAAUCCCGAGAACGGAUGGAGGAAGAGCUAGACUGAAAAGGCUGAUGAAAGAGUUAGCUGAUUAUCGGUGGCUUGAUGGUGAUUUAGUAUCACAUAUGGUCAAGGUCAAUUAGAUGAUACAGGAAAUCAUCUGAAAUGGUUAUCUUAUGCCGGACUUUGAAAAGGUGCCGGCUUUGAUGAACACUCUUCCAUCUGAAUGGCAAGCAGUGUUAGAUCGGCUAUGGGAGGUCAACGUGGUCCCGGAUUACAGGGGGCUAGUGGAAACUUUUGUAAGAGAAUACUAUAGGAUUGAGUUGACCAAAAAUUCAACCUUUAGAUUGAGCACCACAUGGCGCAGAGUGAAUGCGCCUUGGUGGCGACAUGAAAGCUCUCCAAAAGUUUUUCCAUGGUUGGCAAAUGUGCCUUCAGUUUUCUCAGAUGUUUUGACUGAUAGAUUAGAAGGGACUUUCCAUAAUUAUUUCUUAGAUUAGUUUGAGAUGUUUUUUUCGUGCUGAAUAUCUCUUUCUAUGUUGAUAUUUCUUUUUGAAUAUAUUACUUAGUGUAAUAAAUUGUUGUAUUAGUAGAAAGCAUUAUUAUUUUAUUGGAUGUAAAUUAUAUGUUGCUUUCUGUUAAUUGCUGAUUGCCGUGGGUAAUUAGCUGUGGGUAGUUUAGAAGUUUUUGUAGCUUCAUAGAAUUGAUUUUGCAUAUGACAAUUAUAUUAAUGAUAGUUUUAAGUUAGGAUUUUUGGAAGAUGAUUGGAAACGUAGUGACCUUUUGAUUCUGAAACCUUACUUGAAAUUAUUCAUUGAUAUGAUGGGUCUGUGCAAAGUGGAUGCAUAAAUGAUAGGCAUUAAUUAUUCGUGCACAUAUGUCUGAUGUAUUCAUAUUGAUGGAUUCAGUAACUAAGAACGUAAUUGCUGAUGUGAACAGCAACAAUUGUGAAAUAUUGAAUAUGAAGAUUCAAUAUGUGCUGGAAAAGCAAGAAGCACUAGAAGCUCUUGACCAUAGUAUGGAAGAUCUUGAGGAUGCUGUGCGCCACCUUGAGCUGGUAGAGGACCGCUUAACGGCAUGUGAGUUGAAAAUAAAUAUUUGCAAUGCUGGUUCUAGCUUAGAAAAGGCUGUGAGCUCUAAGCGCAAGCGUAUUGAUUCGUUCAAUAUGUGGGAAUGCAAAUGAUCAAGUCCUUAUUGCAAGAGAUCAAGAGUUAACCAACACAAGAGAGGAAAACGUCCUCAAGUUAAGAAAAUGUCAAGGGUGAAGUGUUACAAUUGUGACAAGAAAGGUCACUAUGCUCGCGACUGUCGUGAGCCAAAGAAGGUAAACACCUCUUGUACAUUUGAGAACUUUACUUUUGUGUCAAGUUCUGCAUUAUUAGCUGAAUCCAACCCUUUGUGGACUGUAGAUUCAGGAGCAACAGACGAUGUAGCGAAGGAUAAAGGAUCCUUCGUGGAAUUCCGACGAAUACCAACUGGAACUAAGUGGAUCUAUGUGGGAAACAACUCCAGAGCUGAAGUUAAAGGGAUUGGUACCUGCCAAUUGAACAUGUGUGGUGGAUGCACCUUGUUCCUACAUGAUGUUCUAAAUGCUCUGGAGAUUCGUCGAAAUUUAAGUGUCUGUUUUAAUGUUGGUUAAACUUGGUUUUAGUGUGAACUUCCGUAAUAACGGUGUAGAUUUGUAUUUGGAUACAAACUACUAUGAUUGUGAUCACUUUCUAGAUGGUUUUAUUGUACUAAAUGUUGACUGUGGUGAUGUUAAUAUAUGUUAUUCCCUUGUUUCACGUCUCCUACUUCAUAUGAUAAUGAUGUGAAUGUGUGGCAUGCUAGACUUGGUCAUAUUGGCCAACAACAUAUGAAUAGACUAGCCAAAGAGGGCUUGUUGGGCAAUAUUGAAUAAGUCGAUUUGUCCAUAUGUAAGCAUUGCCUAGAAGGGAAAAUGACAAGGAAACCAUUUGAAAAAGGUAAAAGAGCUGACGUUCCUCUGCAUUUAAUCAAUUAUGACGUUUGUGGUUCAAUGAAUGUAAGAGGAAGGUAUGAGACUGUUUACUUCAUCACUUUUAAUAGAUGAUUAUACUCGAUUCGGAUGUGUCUAUUUGAUUUCUCAUAAAUCUGAAGCAUAUGUUAUUUCAAAAGGUUUAUGAAUUUUAAAAAAAAAUCAAUUAGACAAGAAAAUAAAAGUAUUGAGAUCCGAUCGAGGUCGAGAAUAUUUAUCUGAUGAGUUUAGAAAAUAAUGUGAUGAAAAGGAAUAGAAAUAUAGUUGUCUAUUCCAUAUACUCCUCAACAAAAUGGUGUUGCAGAGAGAAGAAAUAGAACCCUACUGGAAAUGGUUAGGUCCAUGAUGGCGUAUGCUAACUUAUAUAUCACUUUUGGAGUGAUGUGUUGUUAACUGCUGCCUAUAUACUUAACCGGGUGCCUUCCAAAUCAGUUGCUUCCACUCCAUAUAAGUUGUGGACAGGUAGAAAACCGGACUUAAGUUUUCUUAAGCCAUGGGAUUGUGCUACCUAUACUAAUGAGCCCUCUCACAAAUUUGGGAAAUAUGGUCCCAAAUAAAAUAAGAGUAUUUUCAUGAGAUACUGCGAACACUCAAAAGGGUAUGUGUUCAUAGGUGAGCAGGAAAGUGGGAGUAUAACUGAAUUUGAAUCACGGGAUGUCACAUCCUUAGUGGAUGAAUUUCCUAAGAGGGGCGAAAUAGGGAAAAUUACUCCCUAUUUGAAACCUUGGAUCAAGAUAAUGAUGUCAGUGGAGUUCGUCCAAGUGGGAGUAAUAUGAGAUAUGAUGAAUUGAAUUCAACUCAUUCUCAAUUGCAACCGCCUGAUGUGACGACAUCAUCAUUACCUAAUCCAAGUGGGAGCAUAAUGGGGAAUGAUGUGCUAAGUGUACAAUCUCCCAUACGGUGAACAAGCCGCCAAAGUAUUCCCACGUCGAUGUUUUGACAUUGAAAGUGAAACUUUUAUGGUUGCUUCACUAGAUGAGGAUGAGCCAAGAAAUAUUAAUGAGGCUCGAAAUUGCCCUAAUAAGGAAAAAUGGAUUCAUGCAAUGAAAGAGGAAAUUGAGUCAAUGAAAUCAAACCAAAGUUUGGGAACUAGUUGAUCUUCCAAAAGGACACAAAGCUAUUGGGAACAAGUGGGUUCUCAAAAUAAAGCGAAAGGCUGAUGGCUCGAUAGAAAGGCAUAAGGCUCGCCUUGUGGCGAAGGGGUAUAAUCAACAGGAAGGAAUUGAUGAUGAAGAUACAUUUUCUUCUGUAGAGGGAUUUACCUCAAUUCGCAUUAUUCUGGCAAUAGUGGCUAGUCUGGAUCUUGAGUUACAUCAAAUGGAUGUAAAGACUGCUUUCUUCAAUGGAGAAUUAAAGGAAUGAACAUAUAUGGAACAACCUGCUGGUUUCAUAGUGAAAGGCCAAGAAGAAAAUGUAUGUCGACUUUUGAGGUCGAUAUAUGGCCUUAAGCAGUCGUCAAGACAAUGGUAUAUACGCUUUCAUAAUACCAUAAUGGCAUAUGAUUUUACAAUGAUAGAUGAGGAUCAUUGUGUAUAUAUCAAAAGAUCCAAGGAUCAAUUUGUGAUCAUAUCAUUAUAUGUUGAUGAUAUACUAAUUGCCGGAAGUAAUAUGGAGUUUGUCAAUACUGUCAAAAGUUGGUUGUCUUCCAAUUUUGAAUUGAAGGAUAUGGUAUUGUAAACCCAUAGACACUCCUAUUGCAAAAGGUGAAGGAUUGAGCCAUAAACUGUGUCCAAGGACUCCACAAGAGAAGGAACAAACGAAACAUGUUCCUUAUGCUAGUGCUGUUAGAAGCUUGAUGUUCGCUAUGAUGUGUACAAGACCUGACAUAUGUUAUGUAGUUGGAAUGGUGAGUAGAUACCAAUCUAAUCCAGGUCAAGCACGUUGGAAAGCUGUUAAAUGAAUACUAAUGUAUCUAAAGGGGACUGCUGAUUAUACGCUGAGUUAUAAUAGAAAGGAUCUGCAACUCAAAGGCUAUUCCGAUGCUGAUUGGUGAGGAGAUUUAAAUGAAAUAAAAUCUACCUCUAGAUUUGUUUUCUUACCGAAUAAUAGGCACCAUAUGUUGGAGCAUUAAGAAACAAAAGUGUAUAGCCUUGUCCACGAUAGAAGUUGAGUCCGUGGCAUUAUCAGCAGCAAUAAAAGAAGAUGUUUGGCUUAAGAGAUUAUUGGAUCAUUUAGGUGUUCUUUGAAGUGCUGCAGAUUCAUUGUUGGUUAACUGUGAUAGCCAAGCAGCAAAAGCGUACACCAAAGAUCCAAAAUAUCAUGGCAAGACCAAACAUAUAGAUACCAAGUAUACUUUUGUCAAGGAUAUGAUUGCACGAAAAGAUGUGAACUUAGAGUACAUACUACGCAUAGAAUGGUAGCAGAUCUUGUGACAAAGCCAAUACCUAGAGAUAUGUUUUGUGGCCAUAUGAAAUCUCUAGGAUUGCGUAGAGGAUAAUGUACUAGAUUAUAAUUUCCCCGAAGUGUUCACAUUUGAUGAAUUUGUGUUUUUCAUCAUUAAUGCCUAUGUAUCUUUGUUUGAUCUUUAUGCAUCUUAAUGCUCAGUGCAUUACUUUAAGUUAAGAGAAGUAUGUCGGACAGAUAUAAGAUUAGCCCACUCAUACGGGUAAUCGCCUCUAUUUAUUGUGUGAUAAAUAGAGAUGAGACUAUUUUUAAGCUUAUUAUCUAGGUGAUAAUCGAGAGCUCAAGCUUAAAAUAUGUAUGUCGCCUUAACUAAGUGUUAAGAUGAGGACAUAAUACUUACUAUGUCCAAAAGUAAAAAUACCCCACAUAUUUUACUUUAAUCUGUCUAUGAUGCCAGAUGUGAGUUCUGAUGAAUUUUGUGAAUGAGUAGAUACGUGAACUCAAGUUAGACAUUGGGUAUGUCUGAACUAUCAUCUGUACAGUAUUGAAAGUGUAGACAUACGCUCCAUGGGAAAGGAGUUAAUACCGUAAUACGUAUUUCAUACUACGUAUGCAUGAGACGACCAAUAAGAGUGGCAAACGUUUGAUCUCAACUUUUUAUGACGUGUGAGAAUCUUGAGAAAAAGAGUUCCUCAAUUUUUAGUCCCCUCAUGACUCUUACUUAUUCUCAAAAUUUCUAUUUAGUGUUUGCUAUCUUAGGAUGUUGCCAAUGGUCAUGAGUUAGAUUCGAUCUAAUAGGGCAUUUCUAGAAAAGCAAGCUGAACUGAAAUUGAGAGUUUGAAAGGAAGAGGAAGAUCGAAUUUGGAGAAUCACAUUGUGUUUUUGUAUUCACCGGUUAACCAAUUAUAACUGUUUUUGUGAUAAUCAUAAUUGUGAAUACAAUAUAUAUAUAUAUAUAUAUAUAUAUAUAUAUAUCAUUGUUUGAAAGAGAUCAAGAGAGAUAUAAAUGUGAUCAAUCGAUCUAGGGUACUGCAUACUAAAUCUACUCGGAGUGUGAUGCCCAUUAUGAGCUGCUAUAUAUUCCUAACAGAUGUGUGGCAACGAGCUCUCAAAGUAUGCUGGUCGCACGGAUUAUUCACCGGUAUGAAUGUUGAAGAGAGGUAAAGAGAAUCCUGUUCAGCCCACCAUGUGCGAGUGGGAGAUGAUGGUUUUAAUUGGUGAUGGGCUUAAAGGCCCGUCCGCCCAUGCUGGGCCAAAAAGGCCCGGCCCACGGGAAUAGGGCCUGUGGAUGGGGGAAGGUAUAAAAGGGAGGAGAGAGAGAGAGAGAGAGAAGACACCUCUUGGAAUUAGAACAUACGUACGUUCUCUCCCUCGCUCUCUCUCCAACAAAAGAAAAACAAUAAGAACAAGGCCGCUGUUUUCUCUCCUUCAAGGCGUCAUCGGAUCGAACAAGGCCAGUUUCUCUUCCUUUAUCGGCGUCGGUGUCUAAUCUAUGGCUAACAAGGUACGCUCGACUCCGUGGUGUGCUUUAUGAUCGGUGAUACGUGUUUUCCCGGGCUUCGUCUUCCGCAUUGAUUUAGGGGUUCGAUUUAGUGUCGAAUCCGGUUUUCGGAGAUCCGUUAUUCCCAACAAUUUCUUUGGUGAUUUCGCGUUGACGUAAAUUGCAAGAUUCGUUUCCGCGUAUUAUAUUAUAUGAUUGUUAGUGGCCGCUUCUUUGUAUUUGAAUCUCAGUAUCUCACUUCUUACAGCGUUGAGUUCAGCCUGCAGAGUCUGGAUCUGCUGUUGCAAAGCCGAUAUUGCACCCAUGCAUCCGUGCAAUGGGUCUCUCAGCCUAAGAUUCGCUUCGUACACCAAACUGUUGGCGGUAUCAGUUCUUUGGCUCUCCGGCACCUCCUAUAGACAAUCCCAGAUCAUAUGUGCAUGUAUGUUCAGUGAUCAAGAAAUGAAAGAUUGACAUAAACGUAUCGAUAUGUAGCACUGGACCAUUAGCAGUAGCAUAGAAAGAGGAAGCUGUGGCCCAACAUGAGCAUCUUGGAGACGUUACUUGCACCGAAGACUCUGUGAACAGUGGCGAAUUUCUGAGGCUUGUGUCGGGAGAAAUAAGGGGAGAAUAGGAAGCUAUCGCGCUUGACGUAACUGCAAAGGUAUAUCAUAAACGAUUUCAACGGUCAUUUAUUUUGGUGAAUUGGAAGCUGCGGAUAGCAAAGCAGUAUUCCUCCAAAACCUAUGUGAAGAGUUGCGAUUUGAUCCACAGAAGGCUAGUGAGAUUCAUGAAGGUAUUUUCAUUAAUUUCCUAUACUAGAGCACUAAUCGAUAGUCAUUCAUGUUCGCUCUCUUCUUUUCUUGUUCGCUUAUUUCUGCUGUGGUUCAAUGGUUCUUAAAGUUUUCAACUUUAUUAUCUAUCUAGCAAUGUGAAAAUUGGUAGCAAAAGGAACUUUCUUCCUGAGUAGAACACAGUGAAUUUUGAAAAUCGUUGAUAGAGCGAAAUUUAAGAAUUUCAUGUUUAUGUACUGCAUAAAGCCAUCAUACAAUACCCGAUGACAUCACUUUUUAUUUUUCACAUGUAGAAAUUUACAGGCAGAAAGUUCAGCAGUGUGUUGCUGAUGGAGAACUGAGUGAAGAGAAUGUUAAAGCUUUACUACGAGUACGAGUUAUGCUCUGUAUCUCUCAGCAAACUGUUGAAGCAGCUCACUCCAGUAUAUGUGGCAGUUUAUUCGAGAAGGUAAACAUCACAACUGACUUCACUAUGUUCCAACUUCACAUCUGACGCAUAUUUUGUGCGAUACAUUUGUCUGCAAAGAAAUUGGUUUGACUGUACUGACUUACCUGAACUGUUAAAUCCAGGUUGUGGAGGAUGCGAUUGCCACGGGAGUAGAUGGAUAUGAUGCAGAAGUGAAGAAAUCUGUGAGCAAAGCAGCUCAUGGCUUGCGCUUGACAAGGGAGGCUGCCAUGUCUAUUGCCAGCACAGCUGUGAGUAUCUUCUUUUACGAUUCCUUCCCUUUUGGCAGACCUCUCUCCCUCCCCCCCCCCCCCCCUUUUUUUCUCUCUCACUCACUCAUAUGACAUGGAUGACAUACUUGUGUUCAGGCUACAAUGGGUCAACCUUACUUUUUGUCAAGGUUCAUGCUAUUCUCUUGGAGUAGUGGCAACGAUAGAUAGAACAUCAAUAUUCUUAAGAAAUAUAACAUAAAAGGAGUUUCAUUUUAGAAAUUUGGAAUAACGUCUUUUCUUAAGUCCAUUUUCUGCAUUCCUCUACCCCUGUAUAGGUAAGUAAAGUCAUUUCACUAAAAGGGACUGGAAUCGAAGAAGAAAGUUACCGGUUUUGGUCAAACACAACUGAUUGAUCUCUUCUCCUAAUGGCAUCCUUGUCUAUCUCCUUUUUGUCCUUGCGUUUUCUUGUGUCUUGCUGUCCCUUUCACUGUUGCCUGGAAUGCCAGUUUGGAAGUUAGACGAUGUGUUUUGAUUAUUUGAAAUGAAUUUGCCUUGGAUCCUGAAGAUUCAUCACUUAUUUAGCGAGCAUGAAUUUGACUCGGAUUAUGAUAUCCCCCACGGAUUGAAUUGCAUAAAUACGUAUGGUGGUCCUGUGCUCAUAUGGGCAUGGAGGCAGCUGAUAGAUAGACUAUAUAUAGUCAGGUGUAAAGCACGAACUUGACUACAUAUAUCGAUUUAUACCAAUUAGCACCCUCUUGGUGAUAUUUUGCUGUGAAGUCUACUAACAAGAAGGAUAUGCGUGUCUUGCAUGUAGCGUCAGUUGACAUUUGAUCGUGUAAGCAUGUGCAUGUACGUAGUUUUAAGUUUUGAGGAUCUUUCUUUCAGUUCGUAAUUUGUCUUAGGACAAUCGAAAGAUUCAUGGUUAUACUUUUAUUCCAGCUAAUCAUAACCUUCGAUCGCCUUAUCUCCAUGCAGGACAGAAAGAUUUUCAUUAAUUACAUUAAAUGAGCACGAGCAGCUCAGAAUCGUACUGAAUCUGCUAGAGAGCUUAAGAAGAUGAUCGCCUUUAAUACCUUGGUUGUUACUGAGGUGGUGGCAGACAUAAAGGGGAAUCACCUGAUACUGCAUCUGAAGAAGCUGCUAAGGAGGUAGAAAUAGAAAUCGAAGAGGAGGAGUGGGAGUCUCUCCAGACACUUAGAAAGAUAAGACCCAGUAAAGAACUUACAGCCAAGUUAGGAAAGCAAGGCCAAACAGAGAUAAAUUUGAAGGAUGAUCUUCCAGAGAGGGACAGGACCG